rnacentral:rRNA from 1 species
CGGUGUUUAACUGGCGUGAUGUGGGACGUCCUACCGGUGGGCUUAGCCUCGCGAGGGGCGGCCCAACUAAUAUCCCGUCGCGGUGCUCUUUACUGAGUGUCGAGUCGGGCCGGUACGUUUACUUUGAACAAAUUAGAGUGCUUAAAGCAGGCUAUCCUCGCCUGAAUACUGCGUGCAUGGAAUAAUGGAAUAGGACCUCGGUUCUAUUUUGUUGGUUUUCGGAACCCCGAGGUAAUGAUUAAUAGGGACAGAUGGGGGCAUUCGUAUUGCGACGUUAGAGGUGAAAUUCUUGGAUCGUCGCAAGACGGACAGAAGCGAAAGCAUUUGCCAAAAAUGUUUUCAUUAAUCAAGAACGAAAGUUAGAGGUUCGAAGGCGAUCAGAUACCGCCCUAGUUCUAACCAUAAACGAUGCCAGCUAGCGAUCCGCCGAAGUUCCUCCGAUGACUCGGCGGGCAGCUUCCGGGAAACCAAAGCUUUUGGGUUCCGGGGGAAGUAUGGUUGCAAAGCUGAAACUUAAAGGAAUUGACGGAAGGGCACCACCAGGAGUGGAGCCUGCGGCUUAAUUUGACUCAACACGGGAAACCUCACCAGGCCCAGACACCGGAAGGAUUGACAGAUUGAUAGCUCUUUCUUGAUUCGGUGGGUGGUGGUGCAUGGCCCGUUCUUAGUUGGUGGAGCGAUUUGUCUGGUUAAUUCCGAUAACGAACGAGACUCUAGCCUGCUAAAUAGGCGUACCUUAUGGUAUCGCGAAGGCCCCCGGCUUCGGCCGGUGGGUUUUUACUACCAACGUACAAACAAAUCUUCUAGAGGGACAGGCGG